GUAUGAGAGCUGGCGAGACAUAAUCGGGGAGACUUACCAAUUUGAGAUAUUGGAAACUGGGACAAGUCCUGGGGAGCCUUGCCAAAUUGAGGUAUUGGAAACUGGGACAAGUCCCGGGGAGCCUUGCCAAGUUAAGGUAUUGGAAACUGGACAAGUCCGGGGAGCCUUGCCAGCCUAGCGCUAUGGCCCAGUUUGAUCAGAUAAAUAAAUAAAUAAAAGGGGCACUAUCUUGGGCAUACUAUAUUUAAUAUAAAUGCAUCGUUAAGUAGAUGUUAAGAUGAAAGUUAUAACGUGAUGAUUGCAGGACAUUUUAAAAAUCUGAGGUUGAAGCUCCGUAACAGAAUGCUUAUGCCGUUGCAAAUUUCACCUGUUUGAAGUGCACUAUUGUAUGAUGAUGCAGAGACAAGAGGUCAGGACGCUUGAGUGGAUCGUAGCAUGGGCAUAGCACUUCCCUCUGGCCUUUCUGAUUGUUAUUUCCGUUUCUCUUUUCUAGACUCUAUCGAUGUUUGAGAGAAAUUUAACUGUUCUGUUUUUUUUUUCUGAUGUCAAGUAGUUUUUAGAUUGUUUCUCCGCAUGCUCAAAGACUUUAUGAAUUUAUUUUCUUUUUGAGACUUAUGCUGGUGUUGGGUUCAUUAUAAUUCAGGUGGUAAAAUUGAUGGGAAUUUUAUUGACA